UACGUAGGGUGCAAGCGUUGUCCGGAAUUAUUGGGCGUAAAGAGCUCGUAGGUGGCCUGUCGCGUCGGCUGUGAAAACUCGGGGCUCAACUCCGAGCUUGCAGUCGAUACGGGCAGGCUAGAGUUCGGCAGGGGAGACUGGAAUUCCUGGUGUAGCGGUGAAAUGCGCAGAUAUCAUUUGGAACGCCAAUGGUGAAAACAGGUCGCUGGGAGUGUGCUGACGCUGAGACACGAAAGCCAGGGGAGCAAACGGG
rnacentral:rRNA from 1 species